CUCCUGAAGUAUAGAGGGUGAAUUCUGCCCAAUGGUUGUAUAGUGAAACUGAGGACUAACGUCUAAAGCGAAACCCAACUGAAUGGCCGCGGUAACUCUGACCGUGAUAAUGUAGCACAAUAAAUAGCCAAUUAAUUGUUGGCGGGUAUGAAUGGAACCACGAGGGUCUUACUGUCUCAAGAGGAAAGCCGAUGAAAUUAUAAUUGUAGUGAAGAUACUACAUAAACAUUGUAAGACGAAAAGACCCUAUCGAGCUUUACUGGAUACCGAUAGCGUUAAUUUAGAAUGAUCGAUACUAAGUAUCCUAAUUCUAAGUUAAUAAUUUUUGUUGGUAGGACAGUUUAGUUGGGGCGACUACCUUUGAAUAAGAAACGAAGGCGAGCUUAUGGUAUUAUUAAAAUCUCAUUAGCCUCACAGUGAGGGGGACACCCCUAGCUGGCACACGUAAGGGAUGUGGGCGAUAGUGACCCGAUAUGAUUAUCCAAAAUAAAUAUCGAAAGCGGAUAAAAGCUACCGUAGGGAUAACAGCGUAAUAUUGUCGGAGAGUUCUUAUCGAGGACAGUGUUUGCGACCUCGAUGUUGAAUUGCGGUGCCCUGGUGCUGUAGAAGGUACCUUAGGUUGGUC
rnacentral:rRNA from 1 species